GACGAACGCUGGCGGCGUGCCUAACACAUGCAAGUCGAACGGAAGUAAGUGCUUCGGUAUUUACUUUAGUGGCGAACGGGUGAGUAACGCGUGAGGAACCUGCCUUUCAGUGGGGGACAACAGUUGGAAACGACUGCUAAUACCGCAUGACGCUUCUUAGGGGCAUCCCUGAGAAGUCAAAGCUUUAUGUGCUGAAAGAUGGCCUCGCGUCUGAUUAGCUAGUUGGUGAGGUAACGGCUCACCAAGGCGACGAUCAGUAGCCGACCUGAGAGGGUGAUCGGCCACAUUGGGACUGAGACACGGCCCAA
rnacentral:rRNA from 1 species